AAUCAACGCUGGCGGCGCGCUUAACACAUGCAAGUCGAACGAGAAAGUGGAGCAAUCCAUGAGUAAAGUGGCGUACGGGUGAGUAACACGUGGGUAAUCUACCUCUUGGUGGGGAAUAACCCUGGGAAACCGGGGCUAAUACCGCAUAAGCCUGGAAAGGGAAAGGAGCAAUUCGCCGAGAGAGGAGCCCGCGGCUGAUU
rnacentral:rRNA from 1 species